GUCCACAUGUGGUAAAUAAGAAGUGAUGGCAUCAAACACCUGGAUCAGUGGGGUUCAGUGUUACCCCACAGAAGCCCCCCCACCCCGUUCACCCCAACACCAAAGCUUCCUCUUUUCAUGCAUUUGCUAAGUUUGCUCCUCUGGUCUGAUCUCUCUCUCUCUCUCUCUCUCUCUCUCUCUCUCUCUCUCUCUCUCUUUGAGUUUCUCCAUUUCCAGAGGCUGUAAGAGGAAUUGGUUGUUUGACAGAGAACACCUGCUUGUGGAGCCGUUUUACAGGGGUGGGGGGGCUAAGAAGCUACAGUGACGAAGGAAAGGGGGAUGAAAGCAGCACGAGAGAGGUAGAAAGGAGGGUGAGGGAGGGGGGGCACAGCAUGAGAGCCUAACAGGUGCUUCCUCUGUGUGACUCUGGGAAAAGACCGACACUGCUAAUGUAUGGAAAUGGGAACAGGGUCUCCGUGCCCACGUCCCUUCAUCAAGCCUCUCUAUCUCUCUCUCCCUCCCUUUUUUCCACUCCCCCUCCUUCUGAAUAAUAAGAAAGUCCUAUAAAAGUGGCCUCACAGAUAAUUUACCAAAUUGGUUAAAUGUUGCUGAGAGCCUGGAGUGUUAAUAUGCUUCCAUUCAGAGCAGACAGAGGUCAGGGGAGUCACUGGUUAGCAGGAACCAGACAGAAACAACAGAGCUCUGAUGAUUUCAUCCCACACCAUGCCCUUUAGGGUUGUUCUGUAAUGACCAACAUGUCGGAGCACAUUUAACGUGGCAUGCAUCCAUGUUGGAUAUAAACAUUGUUUACCAACACACACGUAUUCCCUGGAUGCUCCUGAUUCCAUUGUUGACGACCAAAUUCUGGGUUUUUUUUGCAUCCGUGCAUGGAUUUCAACGUACACCCAGCAAAUUCUUAUUUUCCUCCCUCGCCGCCGCCAUCUGCUCUCCUUUAGGGACUCUGAUUAUGGCUAAUGAGCGUUUCCAAGCACAGUCCCUCAUCUAUCUCCACACACCCAGAGCGCACAAUGUUUUCCUGCUAUUUCUCUACCACUGGACCCCUUUUUGCGUACACAUCCAUCUCAAGCACAACACACACAGCGGCGGCAUCAAAAACGACAGCGGCAUCACCGCCGUGCCAUUAUUUACACGUCCGUCAGCUUAAUACGCAAUAAUAUUACAUAUAUGUAGAAGGCAUGCAGAAUUGGAACAUACAGGUGCUAACUUCUUUGGCCAGGUCUGUUCCCAGCCUGGGCUAAUGAGGAGCAGGUGAGUGGAUGUUGCUUUAAUCAAGUGGAGAGUGGGCCGCGCACAGAUUUGCAGCUUGUUGAAAGGCCAGCAGUACACAUGGGCUUCAUUAUGGGGUUAGGGGAAAAUCAGUCAGGAACAAUUGUUUUCCCACUCCUGCUGCUAGACUGGAAUACUUUUCUCCUUUUUAUGUCCUCCUCUCUCACACACAGAGACACACAGUAUGUGGACACGCAUACGCAAGGGGAUGAUAGAUUCAAACUUGCCAACUUUUGUAAAGGAAAAAAUCGCCGAGCCCUCAGUUGCUUAAAUACCAAACGCAGUCUAAGUCAAUAAGUCAGUGUGACAUAAAGGUGAGGACAGAAUAUUUUUAACUUUGCCAGGAAGCAAAGUGCAAGUGAAGGGAAAUAUGUUGACAGACAAUUAUUCUGCCCUAAGAUGGAAGAACAGGUAAACAAUAUGUGUUGAGCCGAAGUCUCCAGCUAUUUUUGUUAACGUAAACUGUUGUUAAAAAGUAUGUCCUCACCCACUGACCUCACCCUGUGAUACAUUAUAAUGUGAUGAAGGAUUGUCGAAGGGAUAGAUCAGAUGUUUUGGACACAGUCAGGAAUGGAUCAAGCUGAAGGCGUGCCUGCAUAUGCAGUAUGCCUUUAGUUGUAGUACCGGUGAUGGCCUGUAGAGGCUGGCUAAGAAAAGCUGUCUCUGAAAGACAACAAUACAAAUAUAACUUCUCAAGAAACACUUUUUGUCCAAUGUUUUUUUAAACACUUUUAACCUUUUUAAUUUGACCUAAAAUUGCCUUUUCAUUGUGCAAAGCCACCUCAGGGUUUGGAGAUCCCACACAUUCAGCAGCAGUGUCUGCCCUUGGCUGAAACACUCACAUGAAGUUACUUACUUUCUAAAUCUUUUAACGUUAUCAUUAACUACAUGCAGAUGAUGACCGACUGAACUUGAUUGUAAUUCAAUAUUUUUUUUCAUUGCCAAAAAAGUCUUAUGAAGUUCAACCAGGUUGAUUAAUUACAUAUUUAUGAAAUUACCGACUUUGGAUUUUAUUUAAUUGAUAGUAUUAAUCAUCAAUAGUCUCAUAAUACUAAUUACAACAGGUUAAAGUAAAUAAAUCAUGUGGAAAAUAAUAAAAGUGCAACCUUUUGGCACAGAUUUUUGGUUUUGCAGGAUUCUGUCCUGUUGCUCUGCUCAUUUGACAUAAUGGGUGUGUGUCUAACAUGUUUAUAUUAUUGCGUUCUCACCACACAGAGAUGGUGAACACACACAUCUGGUGCAUAGAAAAAACUAUCUGUAUAAAUAUUUCUGUAGAGCAGAGUUUGUCUCAGAAAGGCUUUAUGUUUCCUUGUGUAAAAGUUUUGUGUGUUUUGAUAUAAACCCAUCACUGGGUUCAGGCGACAUCACUGCUGUCAUUAAAUUUCAUACCUGACUUUUGGUGUUGGUGACUCAAAAUUUACAGCUCACAAUAUGUCCACUAUGAUUACAUGAGCAAAAUUUGUUUGACUAUGAAUCAAGUUUUUUAGUGACUUCAAGCCGGAUCAGCAAAAGGAAACAUGUUAUAUUAGCAGGGACACAAAGAGCCGUGUGUGAUUCAUGCCCCACAGGAGAGAAGUAAAAGUAACGUUCACACAAAUUAUUCCAGCCAUUCAGACAAAUGAGCAAAUAACUUUGUGUUAGCCUUGACAGGAAUAUACUUGCCAUCACACAGCAUUACAGCAUGGAGCUUCCGCCCCCUCGUUUCCACUUUAAAUGAAGUGACUCCUAAGAGUUAUGACGCUCGGGGACAACCGUGAAACUGAGGAGGCCUGUGUUUCGAAAUGGAACAUCUGCAUUUCAUGAAUCUGUGCAAAUCACUAUGAAUACUUCAUGACUACAAGUAAAUAGCGACCAGUCAACACUUGAAUAUCAAUAAUAGUUUGUAAAUUCAGAGGGGAAGUAAAGCUAAAUAAAAACCAGCCAAUUGUUUUAAGGUUUAAUUUGAAGUUUUUAUCAUGAAAAAGUAUUGCUGUCAUAAUUCUAGAUAUGAAUAGAUCCAACUUUUACUGCAUUUUUAGUCCAGAGAAGAACACUUUCCUGUUUACCAUAACAAACCCACUUUGCAUUUAAAGUUUUUUUGUGGUUUUUUUCUGCACCUUUAAAUUAUUUGCUUUAUUGUCAAGCUGAACUUUUUAGGCUGAAAUUUAGAGGAGUGUGUGAGUAAAAUAGAGGAAGUGUGUGUGUGUGUGUCUUGAAUUCAGUAUCCAUACGUGCAUGCCGUUGUCUGUUAAAGUCGACAACCCCUCGCAUUCUAAAGUCGAAAAUAUUAAAUCUGACCCGGCUCUGCAUCUGCAAGACUUCCAGUGAACUUGGGAAGGUCAUCUCCAAGUAAACGCAAGGCCUGCUUUUGCAUAAAACUCAACGGAUGAUCUAUGACAAAGCCGCUUAAUGUGUCACCACACUGACAAGCUCCCAUCAGUCCCCAUUAAGUCCAGCCGUGUCAGUGGUGUCAGCUGGAGUCUCUCACCAUACACCAACAGCCCUGCCAUAUAAAAGGAGGUGACAGAAGGAGUUACUGUCACAGAAGAGGAGCUGUGAACUCGUACCAACCCCUCUGACAGCCGUUAUGACUGCAAAAAUACUGCGCAAAGACUCAAUAACAAGGGCUGUUUUUGCCAGUGAUUGGCACAGAGCAGGGAACAAUUAGGAGAUUUUUUUCCUUCUCUCUCUCUCUGUCUCUCUCUCUCUCACUCUCUCUCUCUCUCAGAGGUCUCUCCUCGGAGGCAGGAGGCCGUUUGGUUGUUUCAGAGACUCCCUGCACCUGUACCGCUGCUCUGUGAAGCUGUGGCAGGCGUGGGAGUGUGAAAAAGAACCUCUCUUUAACCUUUGAACCUUGACCAUCACAUGGUUUCGGGGUGGUAAAUGAGUGGCAGAGAAAAACAUGGGCUUAGAUUGGAUGAAGAGAGCAGAGGAUGGUUUAGGGAUCAAGUUACAGCUGUUGUGUUUUGCUUGGGUCACAAUGGGGGUAAUUUUAUUGGCAUGUCCUCAGAAGGAAACUCAGCUGAAAGACUGAUACCAUGUUCAUUAUAUUAAAAAUGUACCGAGUGAAGAAAUGUACUUUUCUCAAAAUGUGCGUCUUUUUGCCAGUAGGUGCAGCUGUAGUUUAGCCAGAAGGAAAUAGAGAACUGAGGCGUCAUGGAUAAACAUGGAGGUUUUUUUUGUUUUGUUUUGUUUUUUUGAGUCUUGUCUUGGCAAUUUAUGUUGUAAACAGAAGAGAAAGUGAGUGCUGCAUAAAAAGUAGUUAAGAUCUUUACCUCAAAUGUACUUUUGUAGGGAAUAUAUAGAGUCCAGUCUGGGCCCUGAUCAUGGAACUAGAACAGGUUUUAUGUGGAACCAACUUCUUACCUCUAAGAAAUAUUUUAUGGACUUCCUUUUUUAACUACUUUUAAUUUCAGCUUUAAAGAAGCUUAAAAAGGAAACCUUUUAAAUUGUUUUUUAUGCUAGCAUUGACCUCCUGUAUCUUUUGGACAAACAGCUCAUUUUAAUUAGCUAUUCAGAAUGUUUGUUUAAUGUGGUUCUUAAAGUGGGGGGCGAGCCCCUCCUAUGGGGGCUGCAACAGAACGGGCUAAAUCUAAAUGAAUUAUUUGCACUACAGUGGCAGAUGACCUGAUGAAUAAUGAUUUGAUGAAUAAUGUUUCAUAUCCAGCAAAACAGUGAGUGAAAAAUUGUAGUUCAGAAAUGAUUCAAGGUAUUGUUCUUAAUGUGAAUCAAGUUUUUUUUUGCUAACUUGCAGAUUUUAGGAUUAUUAAAGGCAAAAAAAUAAUAGAAAAGUUGGUAUUAAAUGUCUUUUUUUUUGUUUAAAUCCCUGAAAUCCUGUACCAGUGUGUGUCAGGUGGAUACUCUGAGACCCUUGACCUGACCAGCAUGGUCUUCUGCUUGUCUGAGAUGUUCCACUUCCUGCGGGUGGAACCGUGUUUCCUGUCUGGCCGGGGGCCCCUGUUGAUACAGUCGAACGGAGCAGCAGACUCUGUGUGUGUGCUCCUGCCCUGCAGACCAUGAAGCUGUCUUAAUUUCAGCAGUGAUUAAUACUGCCAUCACUUUAUAAACGCUGCCUGUCUGUUCUGCAGCCUCCACCUCCACAGCAGACCCACGGUUGCCUUUCCCAAAGAGCCCUUCUCUUUCAGACAGCACAGGGUCAGAGAGAGAGAGAGAGAAAGAAAAGAAGCAUUAUUUAAUUUGAUAAUUAGUCUGCAGACUCUUCGGGGGGGUGAAAGAAAAGGAUUGCUCUCAUUAGCUGUAAUUGUCUAAUUGCCUUUCAUCUAAAUAGCGGCCAAUUUUCACUUCAUGGAUUAUACAAAUACCAUAAAUGCACCUCGGUGUUAUUUGUGUAUUUUGGAACUCACCUCUGAGCAGAAAGCAAAUUCUGCUGUCAGCCUGCUGGAGUGAGAGAUGAGUGUGUUUAAGUAGUCCGACGGGUGGACGGAUUGGAGAGUGGACUGAAGGUUGUACAGUGACAAGGUUGGACCGAAGCAUCCAUCUGUCAACAAAGUUAUGAGGUGGGAAUUAGUUUUCUGGUUUUAAAAGCACACUCUUUAGACUUUCAGAUAACUUAGCUCCAAAAAAUGAUGUUUCCAGGGUUAUCCAGGACAGAAAAAAAGGAUAUUUUAAUUUAUUUGCAUUAUGUCUUUUUCUCUCUUUCUUGUUGUGUUAUUUAGAAAAGUCUUUGUCCUAUCCAGCAAAGUCAACCUGCAGGUUUGCACCAAAUAUGAAAAGAAAUCUACUGAUUCUGUACAAAUCAUUAAGAUUUGACUUGAACUCGUGACAUAUUUUCUCCUCUUUUUAUUUGAAACUAUGUGAGGCCUAAACGUCAUGCAGGACUGAAUCACCGACCAAUUUGAAUCGUCAUUUGCAUCUUCUCUCUAAAACUAUUGUACUAACAGUGUUUCUGCCACCACGUCUUCUACACUGGAGACAACAGUAAGUGCACUAGCCUCACAGCUGGAAGGUCACCAGGUCACUGGUUAGAUCCCUGGCCUUUUUGUACAGAGAUGGAAUGUUCUCUAACUGUGUGUGCGUGGGCUGUCUCUGGGUGUUCCAGCCGUACUCCACCGUCCAACAAACAGCAGCAUUAGGUUAAUUGUUCAUUCAACUGACUACAGAUGUGAGAGCAAGUGUGAGGGUGUGUUUGGCUCUAAUUUUGACCCUGAGAUGACCCAGAGAACUGUCCACAGUUUACUCCACCCUCACGAGGCAGACAAAUGAGUUUUUAUUCUACCAUAUCUUUCAUUUUUUCCUUAAAAUUUUGGGGGAAAUUUGCUGAUUUGCAAAAAAUUAUCUUUGUUCAAUGGGAAGUGAGUGAGCAUUUAAAAAAAUUCAGUUGAGUUUUUAAGUAAAUACAAUGAAUGCUAGUAAAACCACAACACAAACACAAAUGACUACUCUAUGCUGUUGUCUUGACGACCAAUCAAAAAGCUUCACACUCUACGCUGAUGAUAUGUUAAACUGUAUCUAUUUGUUCGACCAAUGAGCUGUCUCGUCCGUGGACACAUUUGAACGUUGGCUAAUGGAUCCAACUGGAACCUUUGUACGUGAAGACAGAUCUACUCGACAGUACAGGUACUACAGAGUGGACGUGUUCUCACAGUUUUUACAUUAUUUGUUGUUUUGUGUCGGACGGAACUUUAAUACAUCAGCAAAAAAAAGUUGGCCUGGAACAGUUUUUGUCAACUUCCAUGUGUUGUUGUUUUCUAGGAUGGAGCCACUGUUUAAAAAAAAAAAUCACCACUGUUAACUCUACAAACUGCCCUGAGUGCAGUGUUAGAUUUGACAGCUUGACAGGUGCAGCAGCAGGAGAUCACACUGAGUGAAGGUCAGUUAUUCUGCAGUUAUGAAGUGAGAUUUGAAGCUUUAUCUGUAACUUUGACCAAUAUUUCACUGUCUGUAUUUGUGUGUGUGUGUGUGUGUGUGUGUGUGGCAGAGCGCCGGUGUUACUUAUGCAUUAACACAGACAUAAACACAUCAGCGUGUGUGUCUGCAGUGCACCGUCUGACUGGUGUGUUACGCCCAGAGGAGGCAUCAUCCUUCAGAGGAGCAGCAGGCUCUACUCAAGUCUAAAUAAUGGAAAUGAAGAUAAUCUGAGGCUCUACGUUCUGGAUCAACUGUCAGUGGGAGCUCUCCAUCUCAGAGGUCUGAAUGGGAAAUACAGCCCAUCUGCAGAAGCAGGCCGUGGGAUGGAGAUGAUUACAUCAGAGGAUCAUCCAUCGGUGAUGUCAUCUGCAAUCCUCAGAGGGACCACGGUGCUGCAAGGUCGCCACUUCAUCUACUGUAAGCAGCAGCAGCAGCAGCAGCAGCAGCAGGUCAGACCAGACGUGUGUAAACAGCUCAAAUGCACAAAUUUACCACAGGGUUUUCACAGAGUCAAAACAAUUGUAAAAAACAAAUAAGUAGUUUCAGUUCAUCAACAACAACAACGUCAUUUUGAGUGAGAUGUGAUUCUGCGAUGCUCUCUGAUGUACUAGUGUAAAGGAAUCUCUUCCCCAACAUUUCCCCCAGUGCCCCAUUAUAAACACUAGUCUAUUGAUUGUCCAGCCCCUCCCCCACGUGGACACAUUAAAGGCUUUUACUUUAAACUCCCCUGUACUUAAAAAAGAGUACAGUAGUUCCUAUAAAACUUAAAAAUGUUAAUUUAACAAAAAAUAAAAAUAAACAAACUUAUAAAUAAGUGCAAUUUCCCCACUGUGGCACAAAACGCUGUCCAUGCUGCCUAGAUAGGCCCGCCCCUCACUUUGAGAACCAAUGGAGUUGGAAAAUAUAAAGGAUAAAAAGCUGGAUGAAGUUGUUUGUUCUUGUUUGAUAUACAGGUCAAUCAAUCAAAAUCAAAUCUUAUCAGAAGCGGUCAUCAUGACAGUAAGACCCUUAUUUUUUCAAACACUUGCUCUUUUAAAAACAAGCGGCCGAGUCACUGUCCUUCUGUUAGGCCUUCUAACAUGAACACCAUGAGCAAGAAACAUUCAUGUUCACACUUAUACGUACAGAGGAUUUAGGGUCAAAGGCUCAGUGCAGAAAGACCGCCUCUCCAUGUUGUGACUAUAGCAAUUAUGAAAGGGGAAAAAAUUAAAAGAAGAAAAAUAAUGUAUUCAAAGUAAUUUUUCACAAUGUCCUCUGCUCUUGUAUUCAGUUUGUCCUGCUGAGAAAAAAUUGAUUCAAGUGGCCUCAGCAUUAGAACGCCAGCUUUACUGCGUCUCAGGGAUCAUUAUACAUUUUUUACUUCAAUUAUUCAUGGAUCAAAGGCCAACGCCAUUUUAAUUCCUAAUAAAAAGAAAUAAAAAUAUGGCUCACAGCCCAAACAGUGUCUGUAACACUCCCUGUUAUCUGCGUGGUGGUGAAAAUAAGACUCAUCAUCUGCAUUUCCUUCAUUUGUCAUCAAUAAAUUGAAGCCUUUUUGUCGACUAAUGAGCUGGAAUCUGCGUGGCCUCACUAACGAGCUUGUAGUGGCUGUUGACUUGAAUAACAAUAUGUUAGUUACUGAGCUGAGACAAGAACAAAGGCCUCCUUCUUCGUUUGCCUCCUCUUCCUCUUCAUCGUGUCGCUGCUGCUGCCUGCCUGUUCUGAGCCUUCCUGUGAAGACAGCUCCUAAUACCAUCUCAUAAUCUGCCAUCCGCUCCUCCAGAUGCCCCUGCCGCCACCACCACCGCCGCCGCCGCUCCCCUUUCAUGUCUGAGUGUCGUUCAAAGCCUCAUCAUUAACGUGAUUUAUUUCUCCCUGUGUAUUAUUGUGUACCUCUAAUUUGUUUGGGUAUUUCAGCUACGGGUGUAAAUCAGAAUCAAAGCUGUUGCCGCUGCUUUUUCUUGCCACCUCUGUUAAUGGCCUGUAGAGCAGAGGUUGGCGCUGAGAAGAAGCAGACCUGCUGUCUUCCUAAAUCACCUUUCCAUCCUCUGCCCUCAUCAAAAAUACAAAGAGCCCAUUGGCCGUUCGAACAAACAGCUCCACUGACCGACCCCUGGCUAUAAAUCAUCACCACGGAGAAACUUCCAGGCCCCCAAAAUGAAAAUUGGCUAUGGUGGAAAUUGGAAAGUACCAUCAUUAAUCAUGAUUGUGUUUGUGGAGGUUUUGAUAGCAGAGAUGUUAUACCUGUUAUACCGGCAGAGUUUGUGCAAACAAUAUGGUGUGACACCUUUUUGUAGAACAAAAUUCCAGAAAACACACAUGGAACGGAGACGAGCGGUGGAGUGGAACAAUAGAGCAGCGAUGAUUGUCAUCUGUCCAUCAUGUGUGGAAGGCGAGCAGCUUUUUUAGGGCGGCAUGAUGGGUAAUGUGUUUUGACAGUGCUGUGACAGUGAGCUGUGACCUUCAGCUGCCUGCCUGCUCCAGCUCCACCUCCCAGAGUUCUGGGAGGGAUGUCUUUGGGGGCAUUGGCACCCCCUGUCAAAUCCACUCCAUGUGCAUUUACCGUCUCUUUUGUCAUCAGGCCUGAACUUUCCUACCACUAGUCAAUCACUCAGAAAUGUGAAC